rnacentral:rRNA from 1 species
UACGUAGGGUGCGAGCGUUGUCCGGAAUUAUUGGGCGUAAAGGGCUCGUAGGCGGUCUGUCGCGUCGGGAGUGAAAACUCAGGGCUUAACCCUGAGCCUGCUUCCGAUACGGGCAGACUAGAGGUAUGCAGGGGAGAACGGAAUUCCUGGUGUAGCGGUGAAAUGCGUAGAUAUCGGGAGGAACACCAGUGGCGAAGGCGACUACCUGGCCUGUUCUUGACGCUGAGGCGCGAAAGCUAGGGGAGCAAACGGG